rnacentral:lncRNA from 1 species
GACUCCCUAGGCUGGGAACAGAAACCUAAAUACUGACAAGUUGGCACUCAUCGCUAUCAGGUUGACAUUGGUCUUAUAUUCUGGAAGCUGGGGAGGAGUAAAUGGACUAUUCUGGAUAAAGUUCCUUCUGCAAGUUAGAGCUGCCUUGUCUGCAUGGAGGAGUAAAGGAACCCAGGGAAGACUUCCCAUGCUGUUUCUGCAGCACACGGAGCACGCCAGGCUGCAGUCUGGGAGGAAGGCCCUCUGCAACAGGACCAUUUGUUAAAAAGUAUUCCCUGGAGGGGAAGGGGAAAGGAAAAGAGGG